GCACUCUCACACCUAACCUUUGGGUUUUGUUGUGGAAUUGGGAUGCGCCGAUUUCAAUGGUCGGCACUCCUAAAAUGUAGCUCUUGGCUGUUUCCUACUACAGCAGUUUGGCCUAAUAGUUUUGACUUUUGUCAAAUCUUUGGCUACAUUUGCUCCAGGAGUCAGUCUUGAUAAUACAGAAAACUCAUUCAAA
rnacentral:misc_RNA from 1 species